AAAAAUGAUGGUUGAGCAGGGUUUUGCAAAAAUGAAGUGAGCAUUUUAAAAUGGAGUUUGGGAGAAGUUAAAAUGGAGUUUGGGUUACAACAUAGACAAGUGUAAGGAAGGGCAAACAGUGAACAGAAGUUACAAUGUUGAAGCAGUGCCAGUGUCAGUGAUUUGAGCAGCAAUUGGAUUCAAAGUGAAACUCAGUUAGCCAGUUCUUGGGGUACCUGGUUUAAUGAAUGAAUGUAGUUUCAUUCAUAAAACUUUACUUAUGAAGUUAUAUUAAUAAAGUGAACAAUUAAAAACAAUUUCAUGGAUCAGUUCUACACCAGUGAUAUACAAGUAAAUGAGUUCUCACUAGGGAAGAUAAAAUUUCUAGUUAU